UCUCAAGCCCAUAUUUUGGUGAACAUGCAGCGCUACUAUCUGUUUGCCCUCUUGACCGUAGGGCUGAGUCUCCUUCUAGUCGGGGUGGUUUUCUCCUAUGAAAUAACCAUUGGUAACAUGACCGGAUAUAUAAAUUGUGAUCCAAGAAAAGGCUGCACUUAUCCUGAUGAUCUCGCCAACACCACCCCGACACGUAUGGGUGCAAGUGGCCGCUUAUACAGCUUAGUGUGCGCCGAGUUGAACGACGAAAGCUCCUUGCAUGAGUGUGGACAGUACGCCCGACAGAUCGAGCAGUCUUGAAACAUACAAAUAAUUAUGAACCAAAUAACCCAGCAACUAUGAGCGUGCUAUAUUUGCAGCGGAUAUGCAGGAUAUGCAGCGUCCAUAUCCGACGAAGAACUCCACAUACGGACAUAAUAUCUUUACUUUCAACAGUACUACAGAACAAUGCUUUGACAUCAAAGCAAAUAACGACAGUUGUAACGGCUUUCUUAGCCAAGACGCUUGUGAUUACUUCUGUGGCAAUGGGUCAGAUUACGAUCUAUACUACUAGACAGCGCACAGCAGAGAAACGACAGAACCAGCUACAGGUGCGCUUA